UGGGGAAUAUUGGACAAUGGGGGCAACCCUGAUCCAGCCAUGCCGCGUGAGUGAUGAAGGCCUUAGGGUUGUAAAGCUCUUUCGUCAGGGAAGAUAAUGACGGUACCUGAAGAAGAAGCCCCGGCUAACUUCGUGCCAGCAGCCGCGGUAAUACGAAGGGGGCUAGCGUUGUUCGGAAUUACUGGGCGUAAAGCGCACGUAGGCGGACAUUUAAGUCAGGGGUGAAAUCCCGGGGCUCAACCCUGGAACUGCCUUUGAUACUGGGUGUCUUGAGUACGAGAGAGGUGAGUGGAAUUCCGAGUGUAGAGGUGAAAUUCGUAGAUAUUCGGAAGAACACCAGUGGCGAAGGCGGCUCACUGGCUCGUAACUGACGCUGAGGUGCGAAAGCGUGGGGAGCAAACAGG
rnacentral:rRNA from 2 species